rnacentral:rRNA from 1 species
UUCGCAAUGCCCGAAAGGGUGACGAAGCGACGCCGCGUGGGUGAGGAAGGCCCUCGGGUUGUAAAGCCCUGUCAGGAGUUAAGAAAUGUAGAUACGCUAAUAUCGUAUCUAUUUGACAAAGGCUCCAAAGGAAGCCACGGCUAACUCUGUGCCGGCAGCUGCGGUAAUACAGAGGUGGCAAGCGUUGUUCGGAAUUAUUGGGCGUAAAGAGCACGUAGGUGGAUUUGUAAGUCAGAUGUGAAAGCCUUCUGUUCAACGGAAGAAUUGCAUCUGAAACUACAAACCUUGAGUAUAGGAGGGGAGAAUGGAACUUCUGGUGGAGCGGUGAAAUGCGUAGAUAUCAGAAGGAACGCCGGCGGCGAAAGCGAUUCUCUGGUCUAUUACUGACACUCAGUGUGCGAAAGCUAGGGGAGCAAACGGGAUUAGGUACCCCGGUAGUCCUAGCCGUAAACGAUGGGCACUAAGUAGAGGGGUUUU